AUUGAACGCUGGCGGCAGGCCUAACACAUGCAAGUCGAACGGUAACAGGAAGAAGCUUGCUUCUUUGCUGACGAGUGGCGGACGGGUGAGUAAUGUCUGGGAAACUGCCUGAUGGAGGGGGAUAACUACUGGAAACGGUAGCUAAUACCGCAUAACGUCGCAAGACCAAAGAGGGGGACCUUCGGGCCUCUUGCCAUCGGAUGUGCCCAGAUGGGAUUAGCUAGUAGGUGGGGGACCGGCUCACCUAGGCGACGAUCCCUAGCUGGUCUGAGAGGAUGACCAGACACACGGGAACAGAGACACGGUCCCGACACCUACAGGAGGCAGCAGUGGGGAAUAUUGAGCAAGGGGGGCGGGGGUGAUACAGACAUACGGCGUGUAUGAAGAAGGCGUUCGGGUUGUAAAGUACUUUCAGCGGGGAGGAAGGGAGUAAAGUUAAUACCUUUGCUCAUUGACGUUACCCGCAGAAGAAGCACCGGCUAACUCCGUG
rnacentral:rRNA from 1 species